rnacentral:rRNA from 1 species
GCCCCCCGAAUUGUGGUCUAGAAAGGCGCCAUCGGCCGUUCGCGUCGCUCAAAUCCCUUGGAACAGGGUAUCGGAGAAGGUGAGAAUCCUGUGCCGUGGCGUGGAGCGGCCGCACGAUGCGUCCUUGUCGAGUCGGGUUGCUUGGGAUUGCAGCUUGAAGUGGGUGGUAAAUUCCAUCUAAAGCUAAAUACUGGCGAGAGACCGAUAGCGAACAAGUACCGUGAGGGAAAGAUGCAAAGAACUUUGAAAAGAGAGUCAAAGAGUGCUUGAAAUUGGCAGGAGGAAACCCGGUUGCGCCCCGCAUCGCCGCGUCGACUCAGCCGUCGUGGUAUCUCCCGUUGGGUCGACCGCAAGGCGUCCCUGGGAGGUCACGUCGGUGCACUUUGUCGCGGCGGGUCAGCCGCCGCUGCGAGGAGGAGAGAUGCCCCGCGCCGAGACCUUGGGUGAGGCGUGGGGAGCGUCUUCCUCGUGGCGCCGUCUGACGGGAAGGGGCGCCACCGACCCGUCUAGAAACACGGACCAAGGAGUCUGACACGUGUGCGAGUACCCGGGUGGAAGCCCCGCGUGCGGAAUGAAAGUGAAGGGCAUGCCCUGCCAACCGACCUUGAUCUUCUGUGAAGGGUUUGAGUGGAGCACGUGUGUCGGGACCCGAAAGAUGGUGAACUAUGCCUGAGGAGGGUGAAGCCAGAGGAAACUCUGGUGGAGGCUCGUAGCGAUACUGACGUGCAAAUCGUUCGUCGAACUUGGGUAUAGGGGCGAAAGACUAAUCGAACCAUCUAGUAGCUGGUUCCCUCCGAAGUUUCCCUCAGGAUAGCUUGAGCGCCUUGAUCGGUUUUG